GGCAGUUCUGCAAAAGCAACAUGAUAUGGAGGACUUCAACACCCAAACAAUCUGAUCUUUCCAGGAAGGUUACAAGUUCACACAACCCAGCUUGUCCUUGUAAGGAAGUGCUCUUUGCGUUUUACAACUCAUGCCACAAACAUCACUGGCUCUAUUUUGUCUGAAGUUAUUUUCAGGUAUGUAUUGUUUGCUGAGGAAAUUGUCUCCUGGAUGUGAAUGAGGCAACUUUAGUUUAACACAGGCAGGACACGAGGCAGCCCUAGGGGGUCCAGAUUUGGCAGCGUGGCAUAGUAAGGAUGUGAGAUGAGUUGGGGAACUUACGUGGAUUGAAUAUUAUUUUAGGUAAUUCUGGAAGUGAAACUGGAAAGGCCUUGUCUCUGGGCACAGACACGCAAGCAAGUUGGAAGGACAUUUGAAACCAUCACACAAACUGCUCCGUUUCACACAAUGAAUGUUUGCAUUAGGAAUCAUUUUCCAGUUGGCGUGGCACAUGAGAGAAGCUGCUGUUCCUCUGAAGCUUGUUCCACACUCCAAACAAACCAGGCUCCGUGACGGCCUCCAGCCCGAGAAUCUUAAUCUGUUUAUCAGUCACCAUCAGCCGUAUCAGGAGCGAGGGUGGAGCAGGAGGGAGGGGAGAGGAAGACGAAGCUCCAGAGAGAGGAAGAGAAGAAAAACUGAGAGGUGCCGUCGACGAGCCUUUCACAAAACACCACCCCCCACAGACGCCUCGGCCUCUGGCUCUUUCUGUCUUUAUUCACUCCCUGUGUCAUGCUUCCUUACUCCGUCCUUUUCUGUUUUAUCUUUUUGAACAUUUCCCUCCAUCUACCUCCAUUUCAAUAUAUCUCACUCUGUCUGUCCAUAACUAGAACAGCUGAAGCUAUAAUAACAUUUUGCCCAUCCAUCAAGCACAGCCUGCCUUGAUCAAUAAGCACUUUGAGUCCACUCCACAGCACCACACUGAACUUAAAAUGUCUCCCCUCUGUCUCUGUCAGUACUUAUCUCUCUGCUGACAAAGCUAUAUUAGACUCAUGGGUGGAUGACUAUUACAAUAGAUUUCACGAUGCAUUUCAGCACAGUGUUGUGUGUGUGUGUGUGUGUGUGUGUGUGUGUGUGUUUGUACUGUAAAUGAAAUGGGAAGUGAUCUAUGUCCACUGCCUAUAUUCUUUACUCUUUCAGAUCAUCCUAAAGGAUCUGAAGAGUUGUAAAUCUCACGUAGAUUGUAAAAACAUGGCUGUAUCAGCACAAGAGUUAAUGUAGGUGUAUUAGUGUGUAGGUACUUAACAGGGGCUGGUUCUGUCCCUUUUCAUUUUUUGCCUAAUGUAAAGAUGUCAGCCACAUGUGAAUUAAAAACACAUGUGCAUCUCGAACAUGUGCCACAUUUUGUAAGUCAGUUUUUCAUGCUGUGUUCUGUCUGAAAUCACAUGUGACAGUCUGAGGUAAAACGUCAAAGAGUUGGAUUUUUUUCUUUUAUUAACUUUAAAUCGUACUAAUAUUUUUUUUUUCAAAUGAAAAGUAAUUUCCCAAGGAGAGAGAGAGAGAUGAUUCAUGAGCGAAACAUUUUCAGAUGGAAAAUGAUGAGUGUGUACAUGUGGGUUAUCAUGUGAAAGUUUUUUUUUUUUUGCAAAGGCAGGAAUUUGACAGUACACAAUAAUGUUGAGUCAAAUGGCUGAGAUAAAAAUAGGUUUUGGAAAAUAAAUACAAGUGUAUGUAAACAUCAGAUGAUUUCAUUUUACUUUUAGUUCAUUUACAGAAGAUGUUGUGCUUUUGCAUAGCGAACUCCAAACUUCCUCCAUCACAGCUUAUGACUUUAGUGAGGAAAUGAGCAGUUUAACAAGAAUUAUUUGUCUUUAUUUCCAGUUUUUCAUGGUCCACUGAUGUGAAAGAAGCAAACAUGCAACAAAAAAUAUGAUUUUAAAGUUUCAUUAUAUUUGUCUUCUCCUGGACGGUGGGAGCCUUUGGAGGGUACUGAGGUUUUUAGAACCACUGACUAAUGUUAUACAGUUAAGGAAAAGUUUAUAGAGUGGCUUUAAUUUAAUAAAACAACUACUUAAUAACUGUAAUGUAGUUGCCUGCUCUGUAGAGAAACUGCUCAGUGCUGGUUGUACAGAGCUGAUAUAUUAUUUAUAGCUUGUUGUGUUCAUCUAAAUGUGCAUCUAAAUAUCAUUAAGCAGGAAAUAACAUGUACAGUAUCACCUGUUAUGGAGAUUGAAUUAGAUAUCAACAGAAGAGAGAGGAAGAAGAGGAUGGCGCACAUGUUCUUAAACAGUUUAUUGACUGUGUCUCUGAAUCUCAGUCACCAGUGAAACUCAAAUCCCAUCACAAUCUCAUUGUUUCCUGUCUCCAGGCUGCCCACUCUCCUUUAAAAACAGUCCGUAUGGCUUUUGUUAGGCAGUGUAGCUUCAAUAAGCAGCAAGCGUUUCACCUUCUUGUGUGCAGAGCUUCACAGACAACUUUAAAUCCUGUGGGUUUCGAGCGGUGUAGACUCAAAGCCACAAGAAUGUAAGAAUGCAUACCCCUGAACAGAUUUACGUCAGUGUUGAUACCCUGCUUGAUGAACAGGCCUCCUGCAGAGGUGCUGCCACUUUUUCCUCUUGGCUGUGAUCACUGCUAGUCAUAAGUACAGGGCUGGAGACAUGAAAUGAGGUAAACAAAGUGAGGUUCUUUGAGUUUGUCCGGGCAGGAAAAGAAAAACAUGUCAGUACGUUCGUGCCAGGGCAGGUUUUUAUGAAUGGGAGUUUUUUUUUUUCCUUACUUUCCCUCUCUAUUUUUUGUGAAUGAAAAACAACUGGAAAAUCCAGUAUAAAAGCCUGCAGUCUGCCGCGGGAUGAUUGGCUGCUCGGGCGUAAGCUCCGCCCACCGUUGCUAGGACCCCGACGUCCAGACUUCUGAUUGGCUCACACAGCGAACCGAGACUUCAUUCAUAAGGCAGUGUAUUCAUUCGGACAAAGGCAAGAAAUUCGAGCCCUUGAAAGAGGAAAUCCACCAAUCACGAUCCUCCUCUGGCCCCGAGAUAGAAAAACAAGUCUGCCUAUUAUCCUCAAAUCAUGUCUGUUGCAGAAAUGACAGCACAGCUGGCCUGGAAAAGUCACGGCACAGCAGCACAGGCCCAUACAAACUCACUCUAACUGCGUGUGUCGCUUGUGUUUUUGUCCAAGCAGGUUUUGCUUUUGCUGCUGUGACUCCAUGAAGUCGCAACAUCUGUUUCCCUUCACAGAUUCAGGGCUGGGCUGUUUCCUAAAGAAAGUUGGGCCUUACAAUCUGGGCAGACGUGGCAAAAAGCCCAAGACACAGGCCGCUAAAAAAAAAACACAAUUCAUAAUCUAAAAGCUCCAGAUCAGCGAAACAAACCAAACCAAAGCGCAUCAUUCUUCUACAAAAAAAAAAAAAAAGCGCCUGAAGUGUGAAAGUAGCUUUACCUGAAACUUGUAGGCGAUGUGACGAGCUGUCUGUCACACACAAAAAAGAGAUUUGUAAAGAGGGCAGCAGCCCGCUGGGUAAUCACUCGCCAUCACUUCCCCUCGGUAUUUUUUGUGAAUGGAGCUCAUUAUGCAUGCAGCCUCCACGCAGCUCCAUUCACAAGCAGCGCUCCCUCCUCUCCCUGCAGGCUGCGUGGAUCUCACUCAACGCAGCCUAA
rnacentral:lncRNA from 1 species